rnacentral:rRNA from 1 species
UACGUAGGGUCCGAGCGUUUGUCCGGAAUUACUGGGCGUAAAGAGCUCGUAGGUGGUUUGUCGCGUUGUCCGUGAAAACUCACAGCUCAACUGUGGGCGUGCGGGCGAUACGGGCAGACUGGAGUACUGCAGGGGAGACUGGAAUUCCUGGUGUAGCGGUGGAAUGCGCAGAUAUCGAGAGGAACACCAGUGGCGAAGGCGGCAUCCUGGACCAACACUGACGCUGAGGAGCGAAAGCCAGGGGAGCAAACGGG